GUCGAACGAUACCAAGGGGCUUGCUCCUUGGAAAAGUGGCGCACGGGUGCGUAACGCGUAUGCAACCUACCUUAAUCAGGGGGAUAGCCCGGAGAAAUCCGGAUUAACACCGCAUAAAAACACAGGAUAGCAUUAUCCAAUGUUCAAAUAUUUAUAGGAUUAAGAUGGGCAUGCGUGUCAUUAGCUAGUUGGCGGGGUAACGGCCCACCAAGGCGACGAUGACUAGGGGAUCUGAGAGGAUGGCCCCCCACACUGGUACUGAGACACGGACCAGACUCCUACGGGAGGCAGCAGUAAGGAAUAUUGGUCAAUGGAGGCAACUCUGAACCAGCCAUGCCGCGUGCAGGAAGACUGCCCUAUGGGUUGUAAACUGCUUUUAUCCGGGAAUAAACCACAUUACGAGUAAUGUGCUGAAUGUACCGGAAGAAUAAGGAUCGGCUAACUCCGUGCCAGCAGCCGCGGUAAUACGGAGGAUCCAAGCGUUAUCCGGAUUUAUUGGGUUUAAAGGGUGCGUAGGCGGCCUGUUAAGUCAGGGGUGAAAGACGGUAGCUCAACUAUCGCAGUGCCCUUGAUACUGAUGAGCUUGAAUGCAGCUGAGGUAGGCGGAAUGUGACAAGUAGCGGUGAAAUGCAUAGAUAUGUCACAGAACACCGAUUGCGAAGGCAGCUUACUAAAGUGCGAUUGACGCUGAGGCACGAAAGCGUGGGGAUCAAACAGGAUUAGAUACCCUGGUAGUCCACGCCCUAAACGAUGAAUACUCGAUGUUGGCGAUAUACGGUCAGCGUCUAAGCGAAAGCG
rnacentral:rRNA from 1 species